CCGCUUGGGCAGCACAUAUACUAAAACUGGAACGAUACAGAGAAGAUUAGCAUGGCCCCUGCGCAAGGAUGACACGCAAAAAAAAGAGAGAGAGAGAGAAAUU